GCUGGCGGCAGGCCUAACACAUGCAAGUCGAGCGGAUGAAGGGAGCUUGCUCCUGGAUUUAGCGGCGGACGGGUGAGUAAAGCCUAGGAAUCUGCCUGGUAGUGGGGGACAACGACUCGAAAGGGUCGCUAAUACCGCAUACGUCCUACGGGAGAAAGUGGGGGAUCUUCGGACCUCACGCUAUCAGAUGAGCCUAGGUCGGAUUAGCUAGUAGGUGAGGUAAUGGCUCACCUAGGCGACGAUCCGUAACUGGUCUGAGAGGAUGAUCAGUCACACUGGAACUGAGACACGGUCCAGACUCCUACGGGAGGCAGCAGUGGGGAAUAUUGGACAAUGGGCGAAAGCCUGAUCCAGCCAUGCCGCGUGUGUGAAGAAGGUCUUCGGAUUGUAAAGCACUUUAAGUUGGGAGGAAGGGUUGUAGUUUAAUACGCUGCAACUUUGACGUUACCAACAGAAUAAGCACCGGCUAACUCUGUGCCAGCAGCCGCGGUAAUACAGAGGGUGCAAGCGUUAAUCGGAAUUACUGGGCGUAAAGCGCGCGUAGGCGGCUUGAUAAGAUGGGUGUGAAAUCCCCGGGCUUAACCUGGGAACUGCAUCCAUAACUGUCUGGCUAGAGUACAGUAGAGGGUGGUGGAAUUUCCUGUGUAGCGGUGAAAUGCGUAGAUAUAGGAAGGAACACCAGUGGCGAAGGCGACCACCUGGACUGAUACUG
rnacentral:rRNA from 1 species